UACCAAAGUCGACACAAAAUUGUAUCACGAGGUAAUAUGCAAUGUCUAUGGUUUUGUUUCUACAAGAUCUUUCAUGCACACGAAUUCUUUUUCAAUCAUUCAUUUUGAUCGAGAUACUCACAAGGUCGGGAUAAUGGAGUCAAGAUAUUCAGCGUUUGUGAUUAUUGUGUUUUUAUCUUUUGCAUGGAGUCGAGAAAUAUAUUCAGGAAAUGAAAUUGAUUUGGAACGAUUACAAGGGGUUUGGUUCCUGACGUUUGGUGUAGAUUACUGGACAUGGAAUGUGUUGUGGAAAUGCCACAUUAUUGCUCCUCUCAACGUAACAGAUAAUAGAAUGAAUGUUGGCACGUACAAUUUUCUCAAUGAUAAAUCGGAGACACCGCUUUCCGUCAUAGUCGACAUCACGCGCGACAGGGUCUCAGGGUCAGUUCUGGAUGGAAGCGACUACAGAAAGAAUAUGGGAAAAAUUAGAUGGAAAGCUGUUUGAGGAGAAAAAAUCAAUUUUUACAAACAUGGAUCAUCCUUCUUGAGAAUUACCCUGGUACUACUCUCAUCCAAACUUUUAUGCGACCGACUACUUUACUUUCAUCAGCAACCUGAUGAUAAUGGAGGAUGGUCGGAAGCUUUUCAAAAUUUUUACCAGGAAUCCGACAAUAAAUCUUGAAGAUAUUACAAAGUUCACAACACUCGCAGUUGAACAAGGAGUUGAUCCAACCACGUUGACGAAAUUCGGAUGUGGUGACCUGACCCCCUCGGGAUAUAUGUUAACUUAAUAAUAUUCUAAAAUUGUUGAGUUCACAAGAUUUUUUGUUCUCCAUUCUCAUAUCCAUGAUUUUUUAAAUAUUUGA